rnacentral:tRNA from 1 species
GCACCAGUGGUCUAGGGGUAGAAUAAUACCCUGCCACGGUACAGACCCGGGUGCGAUUCCCGGCUGGUGCA